AUACAGCCAUAUCAUCUUGAAUCUGCCAGUUCCUAUAUGAUCACCAAAGUUAAGCAAUGUCGAGUUUGGUCAGUAUGUAGAUUGGUGACAGCGUGGGAAUACCAGAUGUU